GGAUGUGAGGGCGAUCUGGUUGUGACAUAUGUCACCCCUUGAUCCCCAUGGUUUUUUCAGCUGAUCUGGCUGACUAGGCGGGUAUCCCCUUCCUCCCUCACCACUCCGUGUACAUCCUUCCCAAAGCUGCACACUCCGUUGAAGAAGAUGACCAUCCCCAACAGAGGAGGGCCAGUCUUCGGUCAAGGGUAUAUGAAUAGCUGCAAUCCCCUGCUAGAACCUCCAAACAAGCUCCCAAAAGGACAUCUGGCAAAUAAAGAAACAUGCCCACAACUAAUUAUCAGAGAAACAUGAGCUGAAACAUU
rnacentral:snRNA from 2 species